rnacentral:rRNA from 1 species
CACGGGGGGAGCAAGCGUUGUUCGGAAUUACUGGGCGUAAAGGGCGCGUAGGCGGUCAGGUCAGUCCCGUGUGAAAUCCCUCGGCUCAACUGAGGAACUGCACGGGAAACUGCCUGGCUUGAGUUCGGGAGAGGGAAGCGGAAUUCCGGGUGUAGCGGUGAAAUGCGUAGAUAUCCGGAGGAACACCGGUGGCGAAGGCGGCUUCCUGGACCGACACUGACACUGAGGCGCGAAAGCUAGGGGAGCAAACGGG